UUAUCGGUUUUGAGUUCGAACAAGUGUUUGCAUUUUCAUUUUAGCACAUGAUUAUUUGUUAAAAUUUGUUCUUUUUCUUUGGUAGGUUGUUGCAAUUAUUGUAUUUUGCUUGUUGGUUGUCGCAUUCUAUGCUUUCUUUGCCCCUUUCCUUGGAGGCCAAAUCUGGGAGUAUGCCUUGUUUGGCACUUAUUCGCUGGUGGUGCGCAAGUUCAGCAAACACUGCAGAAGUUGUGAUAAAUGUGUGGAUGGAUUUGAUCACCAUUGUCGGUGGCUCAACAACUGUGUAGGGAGAAAAAACUACCUAACUUUCAUUUCUCUUACGGCCACUAGUCUCGUUUGGGUAUGUUU